ACUCCUACGGGAGGCAGCAGUGGGGAAUAUUGCACAAUGGGCGCAAGCCUGAUGCAGCGACNCCNCGUGCGGGAUGACGGCCUUCGGGUUGUAAACCGCUUUUGACUGGGAGCAAGCCCUUCGGGGUGAGUGUACCUUUCGAAUAAGCACCGGCUAACUACGUGCCAGCAGCCGCGGUAAUACGUAGGGUGCAAGCGUUAUCCGGAAUUAUUGGGCGUAAAGGGCUCGUAGGCGGUUCGUCGCGUCCGGUGUGAAAGUCCAUCGCUUAACGGUGGAUCCGCGCCGGGUACGGGCGGGCUUGAGUGCGGUAGGGGAGACUGGAAUUCCCGGUGUAACGGUGGAAUGUGUAGAUAUCGGGAAGAACACCAAUGGCGAAGGCAGGUCUCUGGGCCGUCACUGACGCUGAGGAGCGAAAGCGUGGGGAGCGAACAGGAUUAGAUACCCUGGUAGUC
rnacentral:rRNA from 1 species